CCUACGGGAGGCAGCAGUGGGGAAUAUUGGACAAUGGGCGGAACCCUGAUCCAGCCACGCCGCGUGAGUGAGGACGGCUCUCGGGGUGUAAAGCUCUUUCAGUAGGGAAGAAAAUGACGGUACGUGUAUCAUAAGCCAUGGCCAAUUACGAGCCAGCAGGCGCGGUAAUACGGAGGGUGCCAGGGUUAUCCGGAUUUACUGGGUGUAAAGGGAGCGUAGGCGGGUUAACAAGUCAGAAGUGAAAUCGCAGGGCUAAACCUGGGAACUGCAUUUGAUACUGGGUAGCUAGAGUUCAGGAGAGGUAGGCGGAAUUCGUGGUGUAGCGGUGAAAUGCUUAGAUAUCAGGAGGAACACCGGUGGCGAAGGCGGCUUACUGGACUGUAACUGACGUUGAGGCUCGAAAGCGUGGGGAGCAAACAGGAUUAGAUACCCGUGUAGUC
rnacentral:rRNA from 1 species